UCGUCACACUAUCAUUAACUGAAUCCAUAGGUUAAUGAGGCGAACCGGGGGAACUGAAACAUCUAAGUACCCCGAGGAAAAGAAAUCAACCGAGAUUCCCCCAGUAGCGGCGAGCGAACGGGGAGGAGCCCAGAGCCUGAAUCAGCAUGUGUGUUAGUGGAAGCGUCUGGAAAGGCGCGCGAUACAGGGUGACAGCCCCGUACACAAAAGCGCAUGUGCUGUGAGCUCGAUGAGUAGGGCGGGACACGUGGUAUCCUGUCUGAAUAUGGGGGGACCAUCCUCCAAGGCUAAAUACUCCUGACUGACCGAUAGUGAACCAGUACCGUGAGGGAAAGGCGAAAAGAACCCCGGCGAGGGGAGUGAAAAAGAACCUGAAACCGUGUACGUACAAGCAGUGGGAGCACCCUUUGGGUGUG
rnacentral:rRNA from 1 species